rnacentral:tRNA from 1 species
GAAUUAGUUGGUUAGAAUACCUGCCUGUCACGCAGGGGGUCGCGAGUUCGAGUCUCGUCCAGA